rnacentral:misc_RNA from 1 species
GAUGAAGAACGCAGCGAAAUGCGAUACUUGGUGUGAAUUGCAGAAUCCCGUGAACCAUCGAGUCUUUGAACGCAAGUUGCGCCCGAAGCCAUUAGGCCGAGGGCACGCCUGCCUGGGCGUCACACGUCGUUGCCCCCCCCAUCUACUCCUUCGGGAUUGCGGGGGGCGGAUGAUGGCCUCCCGUGCGCCUCGCCGCGCGGUUGGCAUAAAUGCCAAGUCCUCGGCGACGCACGCCACGACAAUCGGUGGUUGCGAAACCUCGGUUGCCCGUCGUGUGCGGUCGUCGCGCAUCGAGGGCUCGAAAAAAUUGCCGAGUUCCGGCUCGGCUUUCAACGCGACCCCAGGUCAGGCGGGGUUACCCGCUGAAUUUAAGCAUAUCAAUAACGGAGGA